rnacentral:rRNA from 1 species
UACGUAGGGGGCAAGCGUUGUCCGGAUUCAUUGGGCGUAAAGAGCGUGUAGGCCGCCAGGUAGGUCGGUUGUGAAAACUGGAGGCUCAACCUUCAGAGGUCGACCGAAACCAUCUGGCUAGAGUCCGGGAGAGGAGAGUGGAAUUCCUGGUGUAGCGGUGAAAUGCGCAGAUAUCAGGAAGAACACCCGUGGCGAAAGCGGCUCUCUGGAACGGUACUGACGCUGAGACGCGAAAGCGUGGGGAGCGAACAGG